UACGUAGGGGGCUAGCGUUGUCCGGAAUCAUUGGGCGUAAAGCGCGUGUAGGCGGUUCGGUAAGUCCGCUGUGAAAGUCGGGGGCUCAACCCUCGAAAGCCGGUGGAUACUGUCGGGCUAGAGUACGGAAGAGGCGAGUGGAAUUCCUGGUGUAGCGGUGAAAUGCGCAGAUAUCAGGAGGAACACCGGUGGCGAAGGCGGCCCUCUGGACGGAUACUGACGCUGAGGCGCGAAAGCUAGGGGAGCAAACGGGG
rnacentral:rRNA from 1 species